rnacentral:rRNA from 1 species
UACGGAGGGUGCGAGCGUUGUCCGGAAUCACUGGGCGUAAAGGGCGCGUAGGCGGCUUGGGAAGUCUGUGGUGAAAGCCCGUGGCUCAACUACGGGUCGGCCAUGGAUACUCUCGAGCUGGAGCACUGUAGAGGCAGGUGGAAUUCCGGGUGUAGCGGUGGAAUGCGUAGAGAUCCGGAAGAACACCGGUGGCGAAGGCGGCACUCUGGGCCAGUACUGACACUGAGGAGCGAAAGCGUGGGGAGCGAACAGG